UACGUAGGGUGCGAGCGUUGUCCGGAAUUAUUGGGCGUAAAGAGCUCGUAGGCGGUUUGUCGCGUCGGCCGUGAAAUCUCCACGCUUAACGUGGAGCGUGCGGUCGAUACGGGCAGACUUGAGUUCGGUAGGGGAGACUGGAAUCCCUGGUGUAGCGGUGAAAUGCGCAGAUAUCAGGAGGAACACCGGUGGCGAAGGCGGGUCUCUGGGCCGAUACUGACGCUGAGGAGCGAAAGCGUGGGGAGCGAACAGG
rnacentral:rRNA from 1 species